UGAAGGCCAGAGGCUUCUUCUUCUCCCGAAGAUGUCUCCUGUAGUCAUCAGGAAUAUCACCUGCAUAGACUUUUGUUGAGCCUCGUCUUCCAGUGUCUGGAGGUUCAGUAGCUUAUGCUAUAUUG